rnacentral:rRNA from 1 species
GUGCCAGCCGCCGCGGUAAUACGAAUCGUCCAAACGUUGUUCGGAUUCACUGGGUUUAAAGGGCGCGUAGGCGGUGCGUUAAGUCGGCGGUGAAAUACUUCGGCUCAACCGGAGAAUUGCCGCUGAAACUGGCGUGCUCGAGGGAGGUAGAGGUGCGUGGAACUUCCGGUGGAGCGGUGAAAUGCGUUGAGAUCGGAAGGAACGCCCGUGGCGAAAGCGAGGUCCUGGACGUCUACUGACGCUGAGACGCGAAAGCUAGGGGAGCAAACGGGAUUAGAUACCCCUGUAGUCC